UGCCCUGGGAGGGAUACCCCGGGAACUGGGGCUAAUUCCCGAUAGGUGAAGAACUCUGGAAUGAGUCUUUGCCCAAAAGGUGUCGGAUCAUGCUUUCGGCAUCGCCCAAGGAUGGGGCCGCGACCGAUCAGGUUGUUGGUGAGGUAAUGGCCCACCAAGCCUAUAACCGGUGCGGGCCGUGAGAGCGGGAGCCCGGAGAUGGGCACUGAGACAAGGGCCCAGGUCCUACGGGGCGCAGCAGUCGCGAAAACUUUGCAAUACACGAAAGUGUGACAGGGUCAUCCCGAGUGCCGACCGCUGAGGUUGGCUUUUACCCAGUCUAGAACGCUGGGGGAAUAAGGAGAGGGCAAGUCUGGUGUCAGCCGCCGCGGUAAUACCAGCUCUCCGAGUGGUGUGGACGUUUAUUGGGCCUAAAGCAUCCGUAGCUGGCUGAACAAGUCCCCUGUUAAACCCACCGAUUUAAUCGUUGGUCUGCGGGGGAUACUGCUCGGCUAGGGGACGAGAGAGGCAGACGGUAUUCCCGGGGUAGGGGUGAAAUCCUAUAAUCCCGAGAAGACCACCAGUGGCGAAGGCUGUCUGCUAGAACGCGCCCGACGGUGAGGGAUGAAAGCUGGGGGAGCGAACGGGAUUAGAUACCCCGGUAGUCCCAGCUGUAAACGAUGCAGGCUAGGUGUUAGGACGACUACGGGCCGUUCUAGUGCCGCAGGGAAGCCGUUAAGUCUGCCACCUGGGAAGUACGGUCGCAAGGCUGAAACUUAAAGGAAUUGGCGGGGGAGCAC
rnacentral:rRNA from 1 species